rnacentral:rRNA from 1 species
ACAUGUCUUUAUAGUAUUUAAUAUAAAGUCUGGCCUGCCCACUGAAUAAUAUUUGAAGGGCCGCAGUAUUUUGACUGUGCAAAGGUAGCAUAAUCAUUAGUCUUUUAAUUGAGGGCUGGUAUGAAUGGUCGGAUGAGAUAUAAGCUGUGUCAAAAAAAUUAUUAUUUGAAUUUAACUUUUUAGUCAAAAGGCUAAAAUAAAUUUAAAAGACGAGAAGACCCUAUAGAGCUUUAUAUAAUAAAUAUUUAAGUUAUUAAGAUUUAUUAAAUUUAAUUUUUGUAUUGUAUUUUGUUGGGGUGACAAUAAAAUUUAUAAAACUUUUAUUUUUAUUUAACAUUAAUUUAUGAUUAUAUGAUCCAAUUUUAUUGAUUAUAAAUUUAAGUUACCUUAGGGAUAACAGCGUAAUUUUUUUUGAGAGUUCUUAUCGACAAAAAAGAUUGCGACCUCGAUGUUGGAUUAAGAGUAAUUUUGGGUGUAGAAGUUCAAAAUUUAAGUCUGUUCGACUUUUAAAUUCUUACAUGAUC